AUGGUUAAGUUAGAAAGGGCGCACGGUGGAUGCCUUGGCACUAGGAGCCGAUGAAGGACGGGACGAACACCGAUAUGCUUCGGGGAGCUGUAAGCAAGCUUUGAUCCGGAGAUUUCCGAAUGGGGAAACCCACUGCUCGUAAUGGAGUAGUAUCCAUACUUGAAUACAUAGAGUAUGAGAAGGCAUACCCGGGGAACUGAAACAUCUAAGUACCCGGAGGAAGAGAAAGCAAAUGCGAUUCCCUGAGUAGCGGCGAGCGAAACGGGAACAGCCCAAACCAAGAGGCUUGCCUCUUGGGGUUGUAGGACACUCUAUACGGAGUUACAAAGGAAUGAUAUAAGCGAAGAGGUCUGGAAAGGCCCGCCAAAGAAGGUAACAGCCCUGUAACUGAAAUGU
rnacentral:rRNA from 1 species